rnacentral:snoRNA from 1 species
AACGCACAACUACCGCGGAUCACCAAUAGCUCUUGUUGGUUGUCAUUUGAUAUGUUGUGCCAUAGUAAAUUAAAAACAAUGCAUUAAUGAUGUUUUUUCACAUGAGAGAUAUUGCUGGUGUUGUUUUUUACAUUUU